rnacentral:rRNA from 1 species
AUACGGAGGGUGCGAGCGUUAUCCGGAAUCACUGGGCGUAAAGGGCGCGUAGGCGGUUUGUUAAGUCUGAUGUUAAAGACUGGGGCUCAACCCCGGCAUGGCGUUGGAUACUGGCAGGCUUGACGGUUGGAGAGGCGAGUGGAAUUGCCAGUGUAGCGGUGGAAUGCGUAGAUACUGGUAGGAACACCUAUUGCGAAGGCAGCUCGCUGGACAAUUCGUGACGCUGAGGCGCGAAAGUGUGGGGAGCAAACCGGAUUAGAUACCCGGGUAGUCCACACCCUAAACGAUGCAUACUUGGUGUCGGCCCGUUGGGGUCGGUGCCGGAGCUAACGCGUUAAGUAUGCCGCCUGGGAAGUACGGCCGCAAGGUUGAA